rnacentral:tRNA from 1 species
GUCAGGGUGGCCGAGUGACUAGGCACUGGUCUGCAAAACCAGUUAGGAGGGCCUGUCUGCCGACAAAGGCAGGUUUGAUCCCCUCCCCUGACU